rnacentral:misc_RNA from 1 species
GUUGAUUCCUUCAAAUCUUAUUUUACUUUCAGUGAAACAGAAAGUUGUUAUUUUGAUGCUGAAGCAAUAAAAUUGAAGUUACUGUAGUAGUUUCUUUUCCAGUGUUAAGUGUUAUAUGAGUUCUGUUCAUGGGCUAGCACUUGUGAUGAGGAUUGUAGUUGAUAACUUACACAAUCUUUGCAGAUGAAUCUAGGGUUUUAAAGGU